GAGAGCCCAAACCCGAAAAUGGGGAGUUGGGGAAAUGCUCCGGUACUCGCAUCAUGGCGCGUGCAAGUAAUCUUUCUUCUUUCUUUGAUCGACCGACCGAGUUGUUUUGUUUCGAGACAUUAAAGGACAAACACUUCAAAGGCAUGUUCAAACGCGGAAACAGGAUGCUGAAACAACGAAAUAAUGCCCAAAGUAUACGAAUGCCUGUUAUUACUGCAUUUUGCAUUGUAAUUUGUGUUCUAGUUUGGGUUUUAUAUAGGGAAAGUGGAGAAAAAUCUGAUUCAUUUUCUGGUGUAAUCAAAGAAAAUUUGAAUAGCUUUAGCUCUUCGGUUAAGUUAGACCCGACUGUGGAGUUCAGAAAUGGGACAGAUUUAAUAUGGCAAAUCCCAGACUCACCCAAGGCAGUUCUCUUUCUGGCACAUGGUUGUAAUGGUAAAGCAGCUAACUUUUGGGACAGAUCACCUAAGUGCCUAAAUUGUGUGGGUCUACCAGAAGAAAGGCUUAUCGUCCUUAGUGCCUUAGCUAGGAGAUUUGCAGUUCUUGCUGUAUCUAGUGCUGGGAGGUGCUGGUCGAUGGAAGAUGAAAGGUUGAUCGUUAAAGAUAUUAUCGAAUGGUGGGUUGUGAAACAAAAGCUUCAAAGCCUGCCUCUUGUAGCUUUGGGUGCUUCAUCUGGUGGAUAUUUUGUUUCGGUCCUUGCGACUGAUUUAAGGUUCAGUAGCAUAACAAUAAUGAUUGCCGAGGGAUUGUUUGAUCGAAUGGACAUUCCGAAGAGUUACCCUCCUACCCUUUUUGUACACAUGCCCAAAGAUAAAACGAGAAGGUUGAAAAUAGAGAGAUACUUGACUCUCCUGAAGGGUGAAGGGAUUGAUGUUGCAGAGGUCAAAUGCGUGGAGUUUGCAUUGUCGCCUAAUCUCUUAGCUGAUAGAAUUCCAGGUCUUGAUCUAGCUACCUCUGUGAAGUUGUAUAGUCUGUUCCAAGAAAAAGGUUUCAUUGAUACAAAAGGUUUCAUGAGAAAUGACGGGCGUGCAAUACAGUGGAAACCGGCUCUCAAGGAGAGAGACGUUGUUCUACUGGACAAGUCCAUCGCUGAUCACAUUCAAGAGGAAAUGAAUCUCGCAUUUGCUUAUCAUGAAAUGACUAGUUUGCAGUCUGAGAAAAUUUUUAACUGGUUUGAAACUCAUAUGAGCUGAUCAGAUUCUAAUGCUGUGUAGCUCUCCUCUAUUCAGCAGGGUUAGAAUAUUGUUGCCAUGGCUUUGGACUGGAUGAUAACAGAGUUCAGUAGUGUUGUGUGCUCAUGUUAUUUCACGAGGUUGAAGUCUAGUGGGAAUAAUAAUUAUGGUGACAUUGUGAUGAAAAAUAUUGUAUCAGUGUUCAAACUCCAUAUACGUGACAUGGGCUGCCUGCGGUCAUUAUCUGGAUUGUCCUUUUCUUAUGGCCAGAAAAGUGUAUAGUGCAAGCACUUAGGAACUAGGUCAACUUUCUUUUUGAGAGAAAUAUAAUUGAAACUAGUUCUGUUUUCUUGUCCUUAGGGACGAAACUUUUCAAGUGUAAGCUGCUAAGUGCAUGGUGCAGUAUUGAUGUUGGCAUGAACUUCUUCAUACAUGUUCUUCCUAUGCGUGUCAUGUUUUCUGUGUAGAAUGGAUUUCAUACUCUACAAGAAUACCUUAUUUUAUGUUCAGAUCCAUUGCUUGAAUAAUAGUCAUACUUGCAGAUACUCAUCGACACCCUCAUGAGGGAAGAAGCUCAGUUAGCCUUGACACAUCUGUUGGCUUUCAACUAAUAAAGGAGGCUCUGGGUUUGAGCCGACCCUCGUUGGCUAACUUGAACAGCUGGGCCUGAGAUGCUGCCGCUCUGUCUGAACUGAGUGCUGCAGCAAAAUUGUUCUUGACUUGUGAGGUGCUGUAAGUGAACCUUUUGUCAACCAUGGAGUUCAGCAAAGAAGCUGUGCCUUCCCUGUAGAGUUGCCCAAGUCCAUCGGUAUGUUGGUUUGAAAGUGCUUGCAGCAAGUUCAUGUUUGAGCCGAGCCCUGGAGCACUAGCUACACCAAAUGCACCACCAACAGUUCCCCACCAACCAAACAAGCCCCAUAUCAGUCCCGGAUCCACCUGGGAUAAAGAAGCCCUUGAGGGGAGACUACAAGUGGAAAGGACUGACAAGAGGAAUUCAUCGCCAGGGCAUGUUUGAUUCUUAAUAGAUCAGUGUCAGUUCAUGACAGCAUCUUAUUUCCUCCACUAUUUUUUUUGCCUCCUACUGUGAAAAGUGAUGUAAAAGAUUUCAUUUUGUUUUGAAGAAACUAAGCAAGCAUUUGUGCUCCUUCUAAUGAUCUCUUUUUAGACA